UUAUUAUUAAUAAUAAUAUGAUAUUUUAUUAUUUAUGACGUUUAAAUAAAAAUCUUCCUCUUUUAGGCUUAUUACAGAAUUCAUGGAUUAAAUUAUUAAUGUAGGGGCAAUGUCUAAACCGGUUUAAUUUUGAAGGCGUUCACGUUAGCAGCAGUCUCCCGUCCUCGCUUCGCUCCGCUAUGUUCAGCUCCAGUACCUCACGGGGGCUGCAGCCGCAGGUAUUCAACAAGGAGGAAGGACGGCGUUCACAAAACCCAAACGAGCGGAUUAAGAUAAAGGAACCAAAAGGAUUUACAAAAAACACUGACAGCCUGCAUGAGUUGCUCUAUCCAUUGUUUGGGCCAGUCUGACGUUAAGACGCCUCAAAUAUGUUAGAUAGAGACCACUGGAGAGAGGCGUGUGGUGACAGCAGUUGCUCUCGCACAGUGAUUAGCUGCUACCUUGAAGACUGCAAGCUUUGGAAUUACUGAGCUUUAAAAGUUUCUGAGCUUUGUGGCUCCAGAGGAAUUCACUGAGGGUAAGUCUGUCUCUCUCUCGUUCAGAGCCUUGCUCUGUCUCUCCCCACCUGUUUGUGGAAUUCAGCCUGUGUGCUCCUACAGCCUCCAGCCAUGCCUCUCCAUGCCUGAGCAAGCCACUCUGUCACAAGUCAUGUAAAGUCAUAUAAACUCUCUCUCUCUCUCUCUCUCUCUCUCUCUCUCUCUCUCUCUCUCUCUUUCUCUCUCUUUCCUUCUCUCUCCUUCUCUCUCCCUCUCUCACUGCUUUAGAGUUUUAAAGUUAAUUAUUUUAGUUGGAGAUAGAUAAG
rnacentral:lncRNA from 1 species